rnacentral:rRNA from 1 species
UGGCGGCGUGCUUAACACAUGCAAGUCGAACGAAGAGCGAUGGAAGCUUGCUUCUAUCAAUCUUAGUGGCGAACGGGUGAGUAACGCGUAAUCAACCUGCCCUUCAGAGGGGGACAACAGUUGGAAACGACUGCUAAUACCGCAUACGAUCUAA